rnacentral:rRNA from 1 species
GACUUUAAUGAAGUCAUAUAUUCUAAUGAGAAGGAGGGCGGCGCGCCACGGCCGAUGCACAUGAUGCAAAGCUUCCGAGAUGCCCUAGUAGAUUGUAAACUUGAUGACAUGGGCUUCACAGGUGAUCCUUUUACCUGGCGAAGAAGGAGGCUCCGGGAAUGUUUGGAUAGAGCAGUUUGUAAUGGCCAGUUUCAUGGCCUUUCCCCGCAUGCUAGGGUGAUCAACGCAGAGCAUACAAAGUCUGAUCACAGACCUGUUUUUGUUGAUACAGAAGGAGAGGUGAUAGGGGGACCAACAGCAUGUACAUCAAAAGAAAUUUGA